UGAAUACGUGACGCUAAGGCGUCGAAGUAGUGUAUGUCAUACUUCCAAGAAAAGCUUGCACUGUCAUAAGUAAAAAAUGCCUGUACCAUAACCGACACAGGUGGGUAGGUAGAGUAUACUAAGGGGCGCGAGAUAACUCUCUCUAAGGAACUCGGCAAAAUAACUCCGUAACUUCGGGAGAAGGAGUACCUUAUUCUAUAAGGUUGCAAUAACAAGAUCCAAGCAACUGUUUAUCAAAAACACAGGUCUCCGCUAAGUCGUAAGACGAUGUAUGGGGGCUGACGCCUGCCCAGUGCCAGAAGGUUAAGGAAGUCGGUUAGCAUUAGCGAAGCUGGUAACUGAAGCCCUGGUGAACGGCGGCCGUAACUAUAACGGUCCUAAGGUAGCGAAAUUCCUUCGGGUAAGUUCCGACCCGCACGAAAGGCGUAAUGAUUUGGAUACUGUCUCGGAGAGGGGCUCGGUGAAAUAGACUUGUCUGUGAAGAUGCGGACUACCUGCACCAGGACAGAAAGACCCUAUGAAGCUUUACUGUAACUUGAAAUUGAAAUUGGACUUUAUUCGCGCAGUAUAGGUGGGAGGUGUUGAUUAUAAUCUUGCGGGAUUAUUGGAGCCAUCAGUGAGAUACCACUCUUGUAGUGUUAGAUUUCUAACUUUGAAUCAUUAUCUGGUCAAAGGACAGUUUCAGGCGGGCAGUUUGACUGGGGCGGUCGCCUCCCAAACGGUAACGGAGGCGUACAAAGGUUUCCUCUGAACGGGUAGAAAUCGUAUCUAGAGUGUAAAGGCAUAAGGAAGCUUGACUGUGAGACCUACAAGUCGAACAGGGACGAAAGUCGGUCUUAGUGAUCUGACGGUACUGAGUGGAAAGGCCGUCACUCAACGGAUAAAAGUUACUCUAAGGAUAACAGGCUGAUCUCCCCCAAGGGUUCACAUCGACGGGGAGGUUUGGCACCUCGAUGUCGGCUCAUCGCAUCCUGGGGCGGUAGUACGUCCCAAGGGUAGGGCUGUUCGCCCAUGAAAGCGGUACGCGAGCUGGGUUCAGAACGUCGUGAGACAGUUCGGUCCAUAUCCGGUGUAGGCGUUAGAAUAUUGAGAGGAGCCUUCUUUAGUACGAGAGGACCGAGAAGGACAUACCUCUGGUGUACCAGUUAUCGUGCCAACGGUAAACGCUGGGUAGCUAUGUAUGGAGUGGAUAACCGCUGAAAGCAUCUAAGUGGGAAGCCCACCUCAAGAUAAG
rnacentral:rRNA from 1 species